AUACGAAGGGGGCUAGCGUUGUUCGGAAUCACUGGGCGUAAAGCGCGCGUAGGUGGACUAAUUAGUUGAGGGUGAAAUCCCGGGGCUCAACCUCGGAACUGCCUUCAAUACUGUUAGUCUUGAGUCCGAGAGAGGUGAGUGGAAUUCCUAGUGUAGAGGUGAAAUUCGUAGAUAUUAGGAAGAACACCAGUGGCGAAGGCGGCUCACUGGCUCGGUACUGACGCUGAGGUGCGGAAGCGUGGGGAGCAAACAGGAUUAGAAACCCUAGUAGUCC
rnacentral:rRNA from 1 species